ensembl:snRNA U6 U6 spliceosomal RNA
GUGCUCACUUUGACAGCACAUAUACUACAACUGGAACAAUACAGAGAUUAGCAUGGACCCUGUGCAAGGAUGACACAAAAAUUCAUGAAGCAUUCCAUAUUUAA